GAUCAUGGCUCAGAUUGAACGCUGGCGGCAUGCCUUACACAUGCAAGUCGAACGGCAGCACGGGUGCUUGCACCUGGUGGCGAGUGGCGAACGGGUGAGUAAUGCAUCGGAACGUACCCGGAAGUGGGGGAUAACGUAGCGAAAGUUACGCUAAUACCGCAUAUUCUGUGAGCAGGAAAGGAGGGGACCUUCGGGCCUUUCGCGAUUGGAUGAACCCAGGUGGGAUUAGCUAGUUGGUGGGGUAAUGGCUCACCAAGGCGACGAUCCCUAGCUGGUCUGAGAGGAUGAUCAGCCACACUGGAACUGAGACACGGUCCAGACUCCUACGGGAGGCAGCAGUGGGGAAUUUUGGACAAUGGACGCAAGUCUGAUCCAGCCAUUCCGCGUGCAGGACGAAGGCCUUCGGGUUGUAAACUGCUUUUGUACGGAACGAAACGGCUCUGGUUAAUACCCGGGGCUAAUGACGGUACCGUAAGAAUAAGCACCGGCUAACUACGUG
rnacentral:rRNA from 1 species